CGAAGUAAUGAAGGGCGUACGGUGGAUGCCUAGGCUCUUACAGGCGAUGAAGGACGUGAUAAGCUGCGAAAAGCCGCGGUAAGGCGCAAAUGGCCUUUGACCCGCGGAUCUCCGAAUGGGACAACCCGGCAGUCUGAAGGACUGUCAUCCGGCGGAUGCCGGAGGCUAACGCGGGGAACUGAAACAUCUUAGUACCCGCAGGAAAAGAAAAUAACAAUGAUUCCCCCAGUAGUGGCGAGCGACCGGGGAUAAGCCCAAACCCAUGGGGUUCCGGCCUCAUGGGGGUUGUAGGACCACGUUGUCAUACGUGUUAUCGUGAGAAGAACGUUCUGGAAAGUUCGGCCGUAGCGGGUGACAGCCCCUUAUUCGAAGCGAUGACCGGUGUAGUGGUAUCCUGAGUAGCGCGGGACACGUGUAAUCCUGUGUGAAUCCGGCGGGCCCAUCCGCCAAGGCUAAAUACUCGUAAGAGACCGAUAGUGUACCAGUACCGUGAGGGAAAGGUGAAAAGCACCGCGUGUAGCGGAGUGAAAUAGUCCCUGAACCCGUACGCCUACAAGCGGUCGGAGCUGAUUUAUUCAGUGACGGCGUGCCUUUUGCAUAAUGAACCUACGAGUUGCCGUCGCCGGCGAGGUUAAGCGCGAAGACGCGCGCAGCCGAAGCGAAAGCGAGUCUGAACAGGGCUGAUAGUCCGCGGCGGCAGACGCGAAACCGAGUGAUCUACCCUUGUCCAGGAUGAAGUCCGGGUAACACCGGAUGGAGGUCCGCACCGAUAAGCGUUGAAAAGCUUCCGGAUGAGGUGAGGGUAGGAGUGAAAGGCCAAUCAAACUCGGAGAUAGCUCGUACUCCCCGAAAUGCAUUUAGGUGCAGCCCCUGUUGUUUCCUGCGUGAGGUAGAGCGACUGAUCGGAUGCGAGGGCUUCACCGCCUAUCAAGUCCGGACAAACUCCGAAUGCGCGCAGUUCAUAGACAGGGAGUGAGGGCAUGGGUGCUAAGGUCCGUGCCCGAGAGGAGAAGAAUCCAGACCGCCGGCUAAGGUCCCGAAUUGCAGGUUAAGUUAGACUAACGAAGUGUGGCCCCGAUGACAGCUAGGAUGUUGGCUUGGAAGCAGCCAUUCAUUCAAAGAGUGCGUAACAGCUCACUAGUCGAGGGGCCGCGCGUGGAUAAUAAUCGGGUAUAAAAUCUGCAACCGAAGCCGCGGGAUACAUUAUAUGUAUCGGUAGGGGAGCAUUCCAUCGGCGCCGAAGGUGUUGGGACGACCAAUGCUGGAGCUUAUGGAAAAGCAAAUGUAGGUAUAAGUAACGAUAAAGGGUGUGAGAUGCACCCUCGCCGCAAGACUAAGGUUUCCCGGGCAACGUUAAUCGUCCCGGGGUCAGUCGGGUCCUAAGGAUAAGCCGAAUGGCGAUGCCGAUGGCAGAAACGGUUAAUAUUCCGUUACUUCCCUUAUUGGCGAAGUGGUGACGGAGAAGUGAAACUUCCGCGCACUGACGGAAAAGUGCGUUAAAGGCAGUAGGAGUUGAUGAAGGCAGGCAAAUCCACCUUCAGAUCCGAAUCUGAUAGUACACGAAGCCUCCGGGCGGAGUGAUAGCGAAGGUAAUCAUGCUCCCUAGAAAAUCCGCUAAGCUCAACAAUUAGGGAACCCGUACCGUAAACGGACACACGUAGUCGGGUAGAAUAUACUGAGGCGCUUGGAAGAUUCACGGUUAAGGAACUAGGCAAAUUGACCCCGUACCUUCGGAAUAAGGGGUCCUCACUUGUUGUGAGGCGCAGAGAAUAGGUCCAGGCAACUGUUUAGCAAAAACACAGGGCUGUGCUAAUUUGAAAGAAGAUGUAUACAGUCUGACACCUGCCCGGUGCCGGAAGGUUAAGAGGAGAUGUCACCGCAAGGGAAGCAUUGAAUUGAAGCCCCGGUAAACGGCGGCCGUAACUAUAACGGUCCUAAGGUAGCGAAAUUCCUUGUCGGGUAAGUUCCGACCUGCACGAAUGGUGUAAUGAUCCGGACACUGUCUCAACCGUGAUUCCAGUGAAAUUGUAGUAUCGGUGAAGAUGCCGAUUACCCGCGAUGGGACGAAAAGACCCCGUGAACCUUUACUGUAGCUUAACGUUGUGACCGGGCAGCGGAUGUGUAGGAUAGGCCGGAGGCUAUGAAUUGGGCACGCCAGUGUUCAUGGAGCCGCCGUUGAAAUACGGCCCUUCCUCUGUCUGGUCCCUAACCCGCUUUGCGGGGACCGCGUUUGGCGGGCAGUUUGACUGGGGUGGUCGCCUCCAAAAGCGUAACGGAGGCUUCUAAAGGUGCCCUCAGGCCGAUUGGUAACCGGCCUUAGAGUGUAAUGGCAUAAGGGCGCUUGACUGGGAGGCUUACAAGCCGAUCAGGUGGGAAACCAGAGCAUAGUGAUCCGGUGGUUCCGUAUGGAAGGGCCAUCGCUCAAAGGAUAAAAGGUACUCCGGGGAUAACAGGCUGAUCCCUCCCAAGAGCUCAUAUCGACGGAGUGGUUUGGCACCUCGAUGUCGGCUCGUCACAUCCUGGGGCUGGAGAAGGUCCCAAGGGUUGGGCUGUUCGCCCAUUAAAGUGGCACGCGAGCUGGGUUCAGAACGUCGUGAGACAGUUCGGUCUCUAUCUAUCGUGGGCGUUGGAAAUUUGCGUGGCUCUGACACUAGUACGAGAGGACCGUGUUGGACAGACCUCUGGUUUACCGGUUGUGCCGCCAGGUGCACCGCCGGGUAUCUACGUCUGGAUCGGAUAAGCGCUGAAAGCAUCUAAGUGCGAAGCCGGCCACAAGAUUAGAUUUCCUCAUGAGGGUCGUCACAGACGAUGACGUUGAUAGGAGGCAGGUCUACAGGCAGCGAUGUCACAGCCGAGCCUUACUAAUUGCCCGAAACUUCGGCCU
rnacentral:rRNA from 1 species